AUGAUUGAAAUUGCAAACAACAAUAAAAUUCAGUUUCGCAAAGAGAGUGGUGGUUUGAAGCAACCGAAAGUUCGCCGAAGAUUGGUGUCGAUGGCAAACAGCAGCGCCGAUGGGAGGGUUCAUGAGCGACUGUGUUGUUUUAGGGUUUUCAGGUUUAGGAUGAUGAGCAAAGGUAACGCGUUGGACUGUGGAUUCAAUGGCAUGAGAUUUGGGAUUGUCUGUGAUGCUGUUAUUUGGAAAUUGUGGAGUGAAGUUUCAGAGAGUGUGAUUUUGAAGUGGUCUUUUUUUUUUAGUCGUCUCAGACACACUAAUGUCAACAGGAAAGGCAAUGUUGGAACAAGACACCUUUCAAACAACUACCACACAAUGUUUUUUUUAGUACUCUAG